CGGGGCGUGGCGCAGUUGGUUAGCGCGCUACUUUUGGGAAGUAGAGGCCGUGAGUUCGAGUCUCACCGCCCCGA
rnacentral:tRNA from 1 species